rnacentral:lncRNA from 1 species
UGGCGCUUCUUAGCCUCCUCUGCAUCUUGAUGCUCGAGCGGUGGUUGUCCUAUUAGUGACGUCAAAAUAGUACUAGUUGAAUUACUAUUCACUAAAACUGCAUCUGAGAUUGUUAAAGCCGUACUAGCAUUUUGAUUUGCUUGUGAGACUAGUAUCCGAAUUGUAAGUACUAUCUCAAUUAGCUUGCUUCGGGAGUGAUGAUGAUAAUAAUAAUGACGGUGAUGUCGGUGGCACUUUAGAUAGCUGC